GUGAUAUCAGCAGAGUCUUGGUAACUAUAAGUUCAUCACAGCGUGUUUUUCAACAUCAUCUGAACGUGGGUCUACGUUUGGAUAUAGCAUCACUAAACCAGGAAAAUCUUCCCAAUGGCGCUCUUGAUAGUGAUUCUCAUAUUCGUAAUUGAUUAUCCACCAAUCAUGGCAUCGUGUCCAGAGAAGCAAGAACCAGCUACAUGUGACGGUCGAAGCUUUUUCCCGCAGUUUUACUGUGGUGACGUUUUCAUACUGGAAACGAAGUGGAGUUGUGGGAAGAAAAACAAAGACAGGUGCGUGUGCAAGUAUCCUUUGCACAGAGACAUCGACGAUCAAUGCGUUCGUCAGGAUAAAUGCAAACGAAAGUGGACAAUAUCUGAAGUCAAUCCCACA